CUCUUUUUUCUUUAACAGAACCCUAUGGCGGCCUCAGACAAGAAAGCUUUGGAGCACAAGAAGGAGAUCGCUAAACGAUUGGGUCGUCCUCAACUUGUCGACGACAGUUCAAUAAUUAUUGCCACUGUAUACAAUAACAUAUCACCUCCAUCCUUAAGAUGAGUAAAUUUAAGAAUAACAGAUCAAAAUCUCGAUUUCAAUAAUUUUGUAAACAACUUAAAUUUACUGUGAUAAUUAAUUUCAUCGGAUGCUUACAGCUUGUCAUAUUAUUCAAGCCACGGUUUAAGAAGCUAUGCCCUAAAUCUCGAUUUCAGAUGAACGAUUUGAUUUUCAAUCGUUAUAUUCAAAAUCUCACUACCGACUGAAUGUGUUCAGAGAAGAAGAAGAAGCCCGAUUCGAUUUGAUUUUCAAUCGUUCCCUAAAUCUCGACUUCAGAUGAACGAUUUGAUUUUCAAUUGUUAUAUUCGAAAUCUCACCACCGACUGAAUGUAUUCGGAGAAGAAGAAGAAGCCCAAUUGGAUUUGAUUUUCAAUCGUUCCCUAAAUCUCGAUUUCAGGUUGAAUGAUCUUUUAAUGGGUUACUGAUCUCAUACAAUUCAGCAUCAAGAUCAUCGCCAAAUAAUUUUUUUGGACAGUUUGGAAAUAUAUUUGUAUGACAAGAAGAUAUUGAAGGAUUUGUGUUUUUCUUUUUUUCUUCAUAAACAUUGGUUUUUGAUUUCUGGGUUUCCGAAGCAAUAUAAGGUUUCAGUUAGAGCCGCAAUCUCUGUAUCUUCACGAUGUAUGGAUCUCUGACCCGCACAUGCUUUUACAUGUUUUUGGCAUCGUUCAGGCCCCUUACAUAUUCAGAAAUUCUGAAGAUGCUUUAGUUAUGGGGCCUUUUGGAUUUUGAUGUGAAAAUAUUCUUCCCCCAUGAUUUUCAUAGUCUUCCUUCAGGCUACCAUAAACAAAAAAAAAGCAUACUAUUGGAUUGAAGCUGAAAUCAUAUUAAAAAAAUAUCAACCAAGAUUUUUAUUACAUGUCGUGUGAUUUAUGUAAUAAGAAACUUAUGUUCUACAACGACAAUGAAGAAACAGAUUGUGAAAAUCCAAAAUGCGGAAAAAGAUGUCUUCCUACACCACGUGCAAGGACAUAUGUACAACUCGACUGGUACUGAUUUGCUAUAUGCUGUGAUGUUCGGUGAUGCUGCAGAAAACAUAAUCUCAUGUACUGCAGUUCAAUUAAAAUUAUAUUCGGAUGAGGUUGUUUGUCCAAAAAAUUACGGAGCAAUUAUCAGCCAAAAAAUGGAGAAUUCAGUUGUAUGUAGAUCCAAAACGAACAAUGAGUUCAAAGUACAAUUAAUUCACCAUUCAAGCAGCUGAACCAAUGAAAGAUUAAGAAGAAGUUUCACUAUACUCUUUUUAAUUUUUCUAAUAAUAUUCCAUAUUUUUUUUAAUACUUUUUUCUUCUAUUUUAAGAUCUUUAAAUUCUGCAAAACUUAUAUCUUGUUCCUCUCAAUUUUCUAUUAGUAAAUAAUAAGUAUUAUUUUGUUAUGACUUAUA